rnacentral:rRNA from 1 species
GACGGAGGGUGCUAGCGUUGUUCGGAAUCACUGGGCGUAAAGGGUGCGUAGGCGGGUCUUUAAGUCAGGGGUGAAAUCCUGGAGCUCAACUCCAGAACUGCCUUUGAUACUGAAGAUCUUGAGUUCGGGAGAGGUGAGUGGAACUGCGAGUGUAGAGGUGAAAUUCGUAGAUAUUCGCAAGAACACCAGUGGCGAAGGCGGCUCACUGGCCCGAUACUGACGCUGAGGCACGAAAGCGUGGGGAGCAAACAGG